CAGCAGCCGCGGUAAUACGGAGGGUGCGAGCGUUAAUCGGAAUAACUGGGCGUAAUGGGCACGCAGGCGGUUAUUUAAGUGAGGUGUGAAAGCCCCGGGCUUAACCUGGGAAUUGCAUUUCAGACUGGGUAACUAGAGUACUUUAGGGAGGGGUAGAAUUCCACGUGUAGCGGUGAAAUGCGUAGAGAUGUGGAGGAAUACCGAAGGCGAAGGCAGCCCCUUGGGAAUGUACUGACGCUCAUGUGCGAAAGCGUGGGGAGCAAACAGGAUUAGAUACCCCGGUAGUCCCUGUCUCUUAUAC
rnacentral:rRNA from 1 species